AGUACUGACCCUAUUUCAGUUGAUACUUUAUUUUACUAAAUCUUUCGUAUUAACCAUAAGCAUAAAGGAUAUCAUGUUGGGUUGCAUUGCCAUGUAAGGAAUGGAUAUCCUAAACCUGAGAAAGUACCAACGCAGAUGAUAGUUUCUUAGGAAUAUCAUCGUGUUGUUACAGCAAAGAUGGCUAGCUGUAGCACCUUCUAUAGUUCAGUUUACUACUAGGGAUAUUAUUCAAUCUCUGAACUAUGUAUUACCAUUAUAAAUUUGGCUAGGGAAUCUGUCUCAUUUAAUAUUGCCAUGAAGUAGUUGGGAUGGAGAGGGUUUUUUACUUGACUACUUUCUGACUAUAUACCUUUCUGUUUUGUGCAAGUACAAAGUAUUAGUAAUUUCAGUCUGUCCAAUUUUUGCAGGGAUAAUUGUGUGAGUCUGGUCCAAACUUUAAGACAAUCACUUAAUACAUUUAUGGGAUCACCAACUUUUGGCGUUUGUUGAGACUAGCUAGGUGGGACCAUGAAUUCCUAGAAGAUUGUGAACAAAAGUAAAAAAUGGAAGGCCCAGCUUACUUUGGUAUUAAGGGACAAGGAGCUGCAGCAUCAUGGAUUGGACCGAAGGGGAGGUCCUGACGGCUGAAGAUGGUGUGCACGGGAGGAGCUCGAAGCGGCACUCCCAUGGAGGGAUGGCUGAUGUCACGGCAAUUUUCUCCCAU